CCUACGGGGGGCAGCAGUGGGGAAUAUUGGACAAUGGGCGAAAGCCUGAUCCAGCCAUGCCGCGUGUGUGAAGAAGGCCUUCGGGUUGUAAAGCACUUUCAGUGGGGAAGAAAGCCUUGGGGCUAAUACCCUCGAGGAAGGACAUCACCCACAGAAGAAGCACCGGCUAACUCCGUGCCAGCAGCCGCGGUAAUACGGAGGGUGCGAGCGUUAACCGGAAUUACUGGGCGUAAAGCGCGCGUAGGCGGUCUGAUAAGCCGGUUGUGAAAGCCCCGGGCUCAACCUGGGAACGGCAUCCGGAACUGUCAGGCUAGAGUGCAGGAGAGGAAGGUAGAAUUCCCGGUGUAGCGGUGAAAUGCGUAGAGAUCGGGAGGAAUACCAGUGGCGAAGGCGGCCUUCUGGACUGACACUGACGCUGAGGUGCGAAAGCGUGGGUAGCAAACAGGAUUAGAUACCCUGGUAGUC
rnacentral:rRNA from 1 species